CUGAAGUUACAUGAAGUUUGGAGGUGUGUAGUGAUGAUUAACUCUGAAGCUACAUAAAGUUUGGAGGUGUGUAGUGAUGAUGAACUCUGAAGCUACAUAAAGUUUGGAGGUGUGUAGUGAUGAACUCUGAAGCUACAUGAAGUUUGGAGGUGUGUAGUGAUGAACUCUGAAGCUACAUGAAGUUUGGAGGUGUGUAGUGAUUAACUCUGAAGCUACAUGAAGUUUGGAGGUGUGUAGUGAUGAUGAACUCUGAAGCUACAUGAAGUUUGGAGGUGUGUAGUGAUGAUGAACUCUGAAGCUACAUAAAGUUUGGAGGUGUGUAGUGAUGAACUCUGAAGCUACAUGAAGUUUGGAGGUGUGUAGUGAUGAUGAACUCUGAAGCUACAUAAAGUUUGGAGGUGUGUAGUGAUGAGCUCUGAAGCUACAUGAAGUUUGGAGGUGUGUAGUGAUGUAGUUACUCUGCAGAAUGUUGGUGAAUUCUGUGCACUAUGCUUCUCAGCAUUCGCUGACUCCACUCUGUUAUUUACACUGACUGAGCACAGAGUUGCUGUAGUUCCCAGUCUCUUCCACUGUGUUAUAAUAUCACUGACAGUUGGCUGUGGAAUAUUUAGUAGCAAGGAAAUUUCACGACUGGACUGGACUGGAGUUCACUGAGCUCCUGAGAGCCUGAGACGCAUUAUUUCAUUAAUGUUGAUUUUAUACAACUGUGGGGAUGGAGAGUACAGCGGUGUGAUAUUAUACGUGUCUGAUCCACUGUCUGUCAAAGGCCAGUUGCAAUCCCAGAAAAUAACAAUAGCAGUGUAGCAAUAACUGCAGCCCCUGAACUGCUCUUAUGACCUCCUCUUCAGUUAAGGAUUUAAGCAGCUCUCCAUGUAAAAGACAAGAUGACAGUGAAGAUAGCUCCCACUUGACCUCAUAUCUUAAUCCAUGAUAAAAUAUUGAUGGUGAAGAACGAAAUUCUCUCAGACAGGGCCACCGAGGACAUGACUGGACGUAGAUGGAGGAUGAUUUCAUGUUUUGUUUAACCUCCCUCUGGUCUCACAUACUUUUGGCCGCUCUCACUGACAGCUUUCCGUUGU